GACGAACGCUGGCGGCGCGCCUAACACAUGCAAGUCGAGCGAGAACCAGGGCUUCGGCCCUGGGGACAGCGGCGAACGGGUGAGUAACACGUGGAUAACCUGCCCUCGGCACCGGAAUAGCCCGAGGAAACUCGGAUUAAUGCCGGAUAGCCCCACAUCCCUGCGGGGAACGUGGGAAAAGGUAGCUUCGGCCUCUGGCCGAGGAUGGGUCCGCGGUGGAUUAGCUUGUUGGCGGGGUAACGGCCCACCAAGGCGACGAUCCAUAGCUGGUCUGAGAGGAUGAGCAGCCACACUGGGGCGAAGACACGGCCCAGACUCCUGCGGGAGGCAGCAGUGGGGAAUCUUGCGCAAUGGGCGAAAGCCUGACGCAGCGACGCCGCGUGAGGGAAGACGGCCUUCGGGUUGUAAACCUCUUUCAGGAGGGACGAAGCUACUCGGGUGAAUAGCCCAGAGGGUGACGGUACCUCCAGAAGAAGCCCCGGCUAACUACGUGCCAGCCGCCGCCGUAACAC
rnacentral:rRNA from 1 species